rnacentral:misc_RNA from 1 species
UGUUUUGUAUGAGUGAAAUUUAAAUGUGUUCAUUGAUAGCAUGUUGUUACAUGAUAAAAUCUCUUAACAGAAAUAGUUUCAGAUAGAGAGGGAAAUUUAAUCCCGCCCAGACAGGUUUAUCUGCCCUCUCCAAACUUGAUGGAAAUAUGUGAAGACUUAUUUAUAUUGGUGGAUAUGCCAUUUAUUUCUCAUUUUUUUUCUUCUCUCAAUCAUUAACUUGCUGUAUUCAAAAUUUAGUGUGUGUGUGUGUAUCAUUGAAAGAAACUAUAAGAGACAAAUGGUUUUUUUAAUGAUCUAUAAAAUUAUGAAAUGGAA